AUUGAACGCUGGCGGCAGGCCUAACACAUGCAAGUCGAGCGGAUGAAGGGAGCUUGCUCCUGGAUUCAGCGGCGGACGGGUGAGUAAUGCCUAGGAAUCUGCCUGGUCGUGGGGGAUAACGUCCGGAAACGGGCGCUAAUACCGCAUACGUCCUGAGGGAGCAAGUGGGGGAUCUUCGGACCUCACGCUAUCAGAUGAGCCUAGGUCGGAUUAGCUAGUUGGUGGGGUAAGGGCCUACCAAGGCGACGAUCCGUAACUGGUCUGAGAGGAUGAUCAGUCACACUGGAACUGUGACACGGUCCAGACUCCUACGGGAGGCAGCAGUGGGGAAUAUUGGACAAUGGGCGAAAGCCUGAUCCAGCCAUGCCGCGUGUGUGAAGAAGGUCUGCGGAUUGUAAAGCACUUUAAGUUGGGAGGAAGGGCAGUAAGUUAAUACCUUGCUGUUUUGACGUUACCAACAGAAUAAGCACCGGCUAACUUCGUG
rnacentral:rRNA from 1 species